rnacentral:rRNA from 1 species
AAACCUGGCGGCGUGCCUACCAUGCAAGUCGAGCGGGGACUGUGCGACGGACCUGAAGAUUUCGGUUGGAUGGAAAGAUGCGCAGUUCUAGCGGCGGACGGGUGAGUAACGCGUGAGCAACCUGUCCCUUACAGGGGGAUAACACAGCGAAAGUUGUACUAAUACCGCAUAAGACCACGGCAUCACAUGGUGGUGGGGUCAAAGGAGCAAUCCGGUAAGGGGUGGGCUCGCGUCCGAUUAGAUAGUUGGCGAGGUAACGGCCCACCAAGUCGACGAUCGGUAGCCGACCUGAGAGGGUGAUCGGCCACAUUGGGACUGAGACACGGCCCAAACUCCUACGGGAGGCAGCAGUGGGGAAUAUUGGGCAAUGGGGGGAACCCUGACCCAGCAACGCCGCGUGAGGGAAGAAGGUUUUCGGAUCGUAAACCUCUGUCCUUGGUGAAGAGGAAGAGACGGUAGCCAAGGAGGAAGCCCCGGCUAACUACGUGCCAGCAGCCGCGGUAAU